UUUAAAAUGAGAGUUUGAUCCUGGCUCAGGACGAACGCUGGCGGCGUGCCUAAUACAUGCAAGUCGAACGAAACUUUCUUACACCGAAUGCUUGCAUUCACCGUAAGAAGUUGAGUGGCGGACGGGUGAGUAACACGUGGGUAACCUGCCUAAAAGAAGGGGAUAACACUUGGAAACAGGUGCUAAUACCGUAUAUCUCUAAGGAUCGCAUGAUCCUUAGA
rnacentral:rRNA from 1 species